rnacentral:rRNA from 1 species
CUGACAUGCGUGCGAGUCGACGGGUUCUGAAACCUGGGAUGCGCAAGGAAGCUGACGAGCGGGAGGCCCUCACGGGCCGCACCGCUGGCCGACCCUGAUCUUCUGUGAAGGGUUCGAGUUGGAGCACGCCUGUCGGGACCCGAAAGAUGGUGAACUAUGCCUGAGCGGGGCGAAGCCAGAGGAAACUCUGGUGGAGGCUCGAAGCGAUACUGACGUGCAAAUCGUUCAUCUGACUUGGGUAUAGGGGCGAAAGACUAAUCGAACCAUCUAGUAGCUGG